GCGAACCUGAUCCGAGGGGUUUUUGGACAAUGGGGGCUUCGGCCCCCGCAUCUCUUCACCCUAAGUUUACAGGUACCUUCGUUGCUUUGGCGGCUUUGUCUUGGGGCUCGCCCCCUAGCCGGCUGCUGGCCUCGUGCCCCGAGCCGGUCCGUGCCCGCCUGGGGCCCAUCAAAUUCCGUUCAUCAGUGCCGUCCGAGCAAAACCACAAUAGUAAAAACUUUCAACAACGAUGAUCUCUUGGUUCUGGCAUCGAUGAAGAACGCAGCGAAAUGCGAUAAGUAAUUCGUGAAUUGCAGAAUUCAGUGAAUCCGUUAUCGAAUCUUUGAACGCACAUUGCGCCCCUCGGUAUUCCGGGGGGCAUGCCUGUUCGAGCGUCAUUGACACCCCUCAAGCUUAGCUUGGUAUUGGGUCUUCGCCCCAACGUGGCGGGCCCGAAAGUCAGAAUGGCGAAGUUCGGCGCGACUUCGAGCGUAGUAACUCUUCUCCCGAUCUGGAAGGUCGCGCUGGGCCAUAAACGCAAUCUUUCAA
rnacentral:rRNA from 1 species